AUUGGGUCCCUGAGGAUAAAUUAGACUAUCUGAACUAUGGAGCUGCUAUAAGUGAGGUGGAGGUUGAUAUUCAUACAGGAGCUACUACCAUCUUAAGGAUAGAUCUUACUUAUGACUGUGGGCAGAGCUUGAAUCCUGCUGUGGAUCUGGGACAGAUUGAAGGUGCCUUUGUUCAAGGAAUUGGGUUCUUUUUGUACUAGGAACAUGUGGAAAACUCAGAUGGCUUGGUAGUUUCAGACGGU